rnacentral:rRNA from 1 species
UACGUAGGCAGCAAGCGUUGUUCGGAGUUACUGGCGUAAAGGGUGUGUAGGCGGUUCCUUAAGUUUGCUGUGAAAUCUCCCGGCUUAACCGGGAGGGUGCGGUGAAUACUGAGGGACUAGAGUACGGGAGAGGAAAGUGGAAUUCCGUGGUGUAGCGGUGAAAUGCGUAGAUAUCAGGAGGAACACCGGUGGCGAAGGCGGGUCUCUGGGCCGAUACUGACGCUGAGGAGCGAAAGCGUGGGGAGCAAACAGG